CACGUAGGGGGCAAGCGUUGUCCGGAUUUAUUGGGCGUAAAGAGCUCGUAGGCGGCUCAGUAAGUCGGGUGUGAAACCUCCAGGCUCAACCUGGAGACGCCACCUGAUACUGCUGUGGCUAGAGUCCGGUAGGGGAGCGUGGAAUUCCUGGUGUAGCGGUGAAAUGCGCAGAUAUCAGGAGGAACACCGGUGGCGAAGGCGGCAUCCUGGACCAACACUGACGCUGAGUGAGCGAAAGCCAGGGGAGCAAACGGG
rnacentral:rRNA from 1 species